UCGAACGGAUCCUUCGGGAUUAGUGGCGGACGGGUGAGUAACACGUGGGAACGUGCCCUUUGGUUCGGAACAACUCAGGGAAACUUGAGCUAAUACCGGAUGUGCCCUUCGGGGAAAGAUUUAUCGCCAUUGGAGCGGCCCGCGUCUGAUUAGCUAGUUGGUGGGGUAAAGGCCCACCAAGGCGACGAUCAGUAGCUGGUCUGAGAGGAUGAUCAGCCACAUUGGGACUGAGACACGGCCCAA
rnacentral:rRNA from 1 species